rnacentral:rRNA from 1 species
UGGGAAUUUGGACGAAUUGGGCGAAAGCCUGAUCCAGCAAUGCCGCGUGUGUGAAGAAGGCCUUCGGGUUGUAAAGCACUUUUUGUCCGGAAAGAAAUCCUUGGCUCUAAUACAGUCGGGGGAUGACGGUACCGGAAGAAUAAGCACCGGCUAACUACGUGCCAGCAGCCGCGGUAAUACGUAGGGUGCAAGCGUUAAUCGGAAUUACUGGGCGUAAAGCGUGCGCAGGCGGUUUGCUAAGACCGAUGUGAAAUCCCCGGGCUCAACCUGGGAACUGCAUUGGUGACUGGCAGGCUAGAGUAUGGCAGAGGGGGGUAGAAUUCCACGUGUAGCAGUGAAAUGCGUAGAGAUGUGGAGGAAUACCGAUGGCGAAGGCAGCCCCCUGGCAAGUACUGACGCUCAUGCACGAAAGCGUGGGGGAGCAAACNGGAUUAAU